rnacentral:lncRNA from 1 species
AGGGAAAGCAGACCCAGGUGGAGCGAUGCUGGGGAGAGGAGGAGGAGGGGAGGAGGAGGAGGAGGAGGGCCAGGAGGAGGAGGAGGAGGGGAGGAGGAGGGCCAGCAGGAGGAGGAGGUAUGGUGUCCCUUGGCAGCUCCGUGCGCGCUGCGGCGGGGGCAACGGGAGCACGGGGUACCAGUUGCUCAACACUUUACCAGUUUGCACUGCUCUUUCUUCUCUCUCCGGUGAAUUUCCAUUUUGAGGGAACAGCUCCGUAGAGGAAAGUUUCUGGAAAGUGAGCCCAUACUUCGGUGCCCACGACCCGAAGCCCUCGGGUGCUCCCGAAGUUCGUUCGGAUUUCGAGCCCCGCCGCCUUUGUGGAAGGUGCAGUUACACCUGUAGGGGGACGGGGAGGGGAGCCCGCGUUUCCCAUCCAGGCAACGACCCGAGCCGGUGCAGCAGCAGGACCGUGGGGGCAGGUGCAGGUGCUCGGCGCGGGCGUCCUUGCUGCCUUCUCUGGGAGGUUUCGUGUUGGUGCUUGAGGGAGCUGCAGCAUGCCCGGCGUUGCUCUGUGCGAGGACGUGGUCCAGAGCCCCUCUGGAGGCAGGUAGCCGGGCGGUGUUUGCACCUGUGUUGGGAGGGCAGGGACAGGGUUGGGAUGCUGUUGCCAAGGGCGCGUGGGCCCUGGGUGGGGAUGUGCCAAGUUAGGGUCCAUCGCUCCUUUUCUCAGCGGGCCCCACGCCUUGCUGAUCCUUUCGUGGUACUUAGUUUGUUGCAGACACAAAGAAUGAAUUAAAGAGAACGAUUGUCGAGACUGUCUGGUGGCUACUUAGAUAUACCAUCUUGGGUGUGAUAACGUGAAAGACGGCAGUAUCCCCUUUCAGAAGCAGAGGUUUAUCAAUCCGGAAGGAAAUAGUACAUCAGUGUCACUUACUUUAAUUGGGGAGAGAGGUCGGCUGGUAACUGGAAAAUGAUUCCACUAAUUGUAUUCUCGAUUUAGCAAAAUAAUACACAAGUUGGAAUAGGUCAGUCAGACAACAUUACAUGGAAUGCAAGAAAUGAUGUUUGCCAAAAGGUAGUUCGUGGAAGAAAAAAAAAAACCAAUGGCACGGAUCAUUUUGAAUUGGAGUUAAGUUGAUUAGAAUUAUGGCUAUUAAAGCUACUUAAGGUGCCAGGCAUAAAGUGAUUAUCUAAUAUACCUCUUCUCUCUUUUGGGAUUGCAACACCUGUUAGCCGGCUGAUUACUAGGUUUCUAAGUCAGUUUGUAUUUGCCGGCAAUUUUAAGUAAUGCUACUUCAUGAGAAGAUUGUACUGAGAACUAAAGGAUUAAGUUGCAACAACAUUUUGCGGAUUAUUUCACAAUUGGGUUUGUUUCUAAACUGAUUUUACCUGUACAGCCAUUCACAGAUGCUCUGUUAAAUACUCUUUGAUGGUGGUAAUGAAUGGUACAUUGAUUAAAAUGAAGUAGAUCUGCUUUGAGAAGGUAACCAGGAGAGAAAAUAAAUAUUUUCUCAUUUAAGCA